UGCUCCUAAAGUAGUUUUAGUUCUAAUAUUGGGCACUGAAGGCAGAUUUUGAUAUACAAUAAAAAAAUACUACAGUAACUAGCAAAGCCCAGGGACAAAAAUAAGGAUAUUGCUUAAUGUCUUUAAAACUAUGCAAACGUCAAAUUAAAAAAGUUAGUGGAUUAACAGCAGCAUUUGCAUGACAGGCAGGAUAACCACUUACAGGGAGUGACAAGCAAAUCUGUUCCGUUUCGCCAUAAAAUUUGCGAAACACAUUUGUCGCCCGCGUCUUUUUUUGGCGCAACCACGUCAUGCCCAAUUUUUCCGCAGAAAAUCUUCACAGAAUUUUUGCAAACAAUUUGCCAAUGGCGAAAUGUGGAAAUUCGCUGUGAAUCCAUGCCUGGUGAAAAAAUUCGCUCAUCACCACUUGCAGGUUGAUUUGCCACAGAUACAGUAUGUCUAGGUUUCCUGAAUGGCUGCAGAUUUUUUGUAAUUUUAAGGAUCCAAUGGAUUGAUUUAAGCAAACUAUUCUUAAACGUCCGCCCCCCAAAAAUAUAUAUAUGCUUUCUAGACUAUAAAAUGUGCUUUCUUUUAUAAGUAAAAUAAUUCUAUUUACAUAUGUGGUUUUUAGGUAUUUACUGUAUCUGAAGCUACAUAUCUAGUAUUUGUCAAGGAAAAGCAAGUCAGACAUAUAAGCUUCCCAAACUUUUGCUGUGCUAUUGAUCCCUUUACCACUUUCAUUUUAUGUACCCUAUGAUAUAUCCCAUCUUUUAUCUAUUGCAUUCUAAUUGGCUUUUGCCACAUUUUGAAGCAUUAGCAGAACUUUUUCUCAAAGCAACAGCAAAACUUCCUCAAUUGCAUAUUUGUAAAUUGUUUCGAUGACAACAAAACAACAGAAUUUCUAAAUGUCAAAUAUUACUGAAGCAUGUCACUUAUAACUGACGCUGAAGAGAAAACCCUGGGAUUGGGAAAGAUUUAUGCCUUAACUAUGGGGGUGGAAAUCCUUCAAACUGUAUGCUUAUUUUAGCACUUCAUUACAGUUGUUUACACUGCAGCACAAAUAACACAUUUAGAAAUAAGCAUCUUUAAUACAACUAAACGAUUGUGCCUUAGUGAGUAAACUGCAAAAACAAUUAUAUAAAUUGCUCCGUAUGUUAUUUGCAAGAGUUAUGUUGUGUGGACACUAUAGUUAUAAUAAUUUCCCCAGCAAAGAAAGUGGAUGUAGAAAACAGCAAAGAACAGAUGCAUGUAGAGAAUUAAGUAACCCUUUGCUACAGAUAAACUCUACAGUAUAUGAAGUAUUAUACAGGCCAGGCAUUUUGCCUUGCAUUCCCCUCUGGUGCCAUUCUCCUGCGUUCUACAACUGUGGGUAGGGGGCAGGAAGGAUUACACCCUUACCCUCAUGAAUACAGUGCUGCCGAAUGCUGGCAGUCCUGUAUCCAUUGAGAAAGUGCUGGUCACCAUUCUGCAGUGCAUUGUGCAAAAAUGCAAAACACAUGGUCGCUUGCACUCAUUUUUUGCACUUUGUACCUUUUCUGCACUUGCAAACAAGCUCUAUACUUUCUGUUUGACACUGGUUACCCAAUACAUCUGGAAUAAGAUACCACACACACUAAAAGCAUGCAUAUUCCAUAGGUGAGAGCUUGCACCUGAAGGGUUUAUUGCUUGUUCCUAUCAGCCCUAAGUGGCAUUUUCUUUCCGACACUUGGCUUUGUAACUGGGAAUGAAUAACACCUACAGGAAUGUAUCAGUUAUAUAUCAGUACACCAAUAGGGAUGAUCAAACUUUUUUGACCAGUACAGUUUUGCAUUGAAAUUCAAAGCAAACAGGUAGAAACAAGCAAGGUAUGUUAUGCCUAAAAAGAAAUACAGAUGUUCUUAUUGGCUCCUUGUCUUCCACGUCAACCAAUAGGAUUAGCGCUCACCUCCUUUCUAUCUUGGGAGCUGUCGGAGCACCAUGUUUGGAAGAAUUUUGCAACAUGCGAGCCUUUUUUUCUAUGAAGAGGAGUUGUAGCAUGGUGGAAGAGAGCUUCUCUAACAAGGAUCCAGAAUCACUGAUGUCCAAAGAAAAGAAUGUAUCUUAACCUCAAAAUUGUCAAAAAAAAAAAA